rnacentral:lncRNA from 1 species
AUGAGUCACAUAUUUAAUUCAUUUACUCUAUUUUGAUUUGUAUAUCCACCUAAUUUCCUCAUCUAGACAUUUUCUAUGUAUUUUACAAAAUGCCAAAAUAAAAUAUUCAAAACAUACAUCCCACUUUUAAACAUGUCGCAAAAAGUCAUACACUCCUACGUUUAUGAAAUAUCAUCUUUUUAAUUUUUUUACAGAAUCCGCUAAAAACUAAAUGAUAACAAAACCAUUUUUAUUUAAAAUACAUAAGUCUGGUCACUUUUUGGUUAUUUUACUACAUAUAUCUAGUCGUCUUCUCGUUUGUGGUGGCUGCAUAAAAAAAGAAGAGAAAUUAGCUCUCUAACCAAAGAACUAUCCCAUAAUUAACAAUAUACCAAAACCCUCUAUUUUGAUACUAUUCAUAAUUAAUCGUGACUCGGCUGCCC